CUGGCCUGGUUUAUCCUGUCGUGCUGCCAGCUCCAGGGGCCCUGCAGGGACUGGCCACACCAGGCAGCCGGCUGGGAGCUCCCGGCCUCCUCAGGCAGUUUCUUCUGUGUGCCCGAUCUCUUCUUGUCCUUACCCCUGCCGAAAACUAGCACUGGGUUAAAAUUAAGAGCUAAAGAGAAUGCAAGCCCACCAAGUCGUUAUCAUUGAUAAACUACGUCACACGAAUUGAUUGUGUACUUCAGAGAGGAGAUUGAAGGCAGGAGGAGAAGGGGAUGGCAGAAGAUGA